rnacentral:tRNA from 1 species
AAAAGGUUAGCUAAUUAAGCAUUGAUUUUGUAAAUCAAAGAUUUCCCUUUUUUA